CUUUCUUUGACUCGGAAAGGGAACUCCCUGACCCCUUGCGCUUUCUGAGUGAGGCAGUGCCUCGCCCUGCUUCGGCUCGCACACGGUGCGCGCACCCACUGACCUGCGCCCACUGUCUGGCACUCCCUAGUGAGAUGAACCCGGUACCUCAGAUGGAAAUGCAGAAAUCACCCGUCUUCUGCGUCGCUCACGGUGGGAGCUGUAGACUGGAGCUGUUCCUAUUCGGCCAUCUUGGCUCCUCCGCAUUUGUUUUUAUGGUGGUUUUGUAUUGUUUUUAUAGAGCUGCCCUCACAUGCUUCAGCAACAUUAGAUGUUCUGGAGACUGGAAAGUCCAAGAUCAUGGUGCCUGAGGAUUCAGUGUCUGGUUACAGGAGAAGAAGAAAAGAUCAACAGACAUAAAAUUUCAGAAUGAUUGACAGUCUUUAAAAUUGUAUGUAUGAAUACUAAUGUUUCUAAAUUUUGGUAAGAAAUGUUCUGUGUAAAUGGAUCACUGGAAAAAUAUAUUUUGUUGAAUUUAACUCUAACUCUAUAUUUCUCCCUGAUUUACAACUAUAAAAAUAUAAUGUUAGAACAUUACUGCGUUAAUAAAAAACUUGAAU
rnacentral:lncRNA from 1 species